GAGAUUUUGAGCAAACGUUCAAUGACUUUGCGGUCAACAAGACUAUCAUCCACUGCCAAAACGUGCACUUGUUCAUCAGGAGGUGAGAGAUCAAAGCCAUCGAUCUUCUCGGACCUCCAUCGCCGGGAAACGACGCUGUUUCUAGCCAUGGAAGAAUAAAACGGAGAAAAAGGAGCGUCAGCUUCUUCUAUAGGUCGCAGGAAGCAGAGGCAAAAACUGAGACCAGGCGUGGUCGACGGUUGGACUGCUUUAUACGAUGUAAUGUAAAAAUGUAAAUGAAAAGAGUAGCUGUCAAUGUCAUGAAGGCCUGUUUGUUUGCUAUCUCUGAAAAUCAAAU
rnacentral:misc_RNA from 1 species